AUUGAACGCUGGCGGCAUGCCUUACACAUGCAAGUCGAACGGUAACAGGUCUUCGGAUGCUGACGAGUGGAGAACGGGUGAGUAAUACAUCGGAACGUGCCCGAUCGCGGGGGAUAACGAGGCGAAAGCUUUGCUAAUACCGCAUACGAUCUACGGAUGAAAGCGGGGGACCUUCGGACCUCGCGCGGACGGGGCGGCCGAUGGCAGAUUAGGUAGUUGGUGGAAUAAAAGCUUACCAAGCCGACGAUCUGUAGCUGGACUGAGGGGAUGAUCAGCCACACUGUGACUGAGACACGGCCCAGACUCCUACGGGAGGCAGCAGUGGGGAAUUUUGGACAAUGGGCGAAAGCCUGAUCCAGCCAUGCCGCGUGCAGGAUGAAGGCCUUCGGGUUGUAAACUGCUUUUGUACGGAACGAAAAGCCUCUUUCUAAUAAAGAGAGGUCAUGACGGUACCGUAAGAAUAAGCACCGGCUAACUACGUG
rnacentral:rRNA from 1 species